GCAUUGGUGGUUCAGUGGUGGGAUUCUUGCCUUCCAUGUGGUAGACCAGGUUUGAUUCCUGGCCGAUGUA
rnacentral:tRNA from 1 species